AUGUGUUUCUCUCCUGCCUGCCAAGAGCUGAAAAUUACCAAGAGAUUGAUGUGCAGAGAUCACAGCACAAAGGCAAGUGACAGCCAUAGCAGGUGACUGACAGUUGGCUGACUGGUGAGGAACAGUGACAGUUGGGAUGGCCAGAGGAAAAGCGCAGUGGACGGCAGGGCAGCCCAGGUGGCAAGGAGAAGCCAAGCAAUGAGGAGCAGUGACCAGAAGGGUGGCCAGCCAAAGCAAGUGAUCAGAUGGCAGAACAAGCAGAUACCUUCUUCUCCAGAUGAUACCCUUCCUCCAUGUGGAUCCCAGCACUCAAAGAGGAGACUUCUGAAUCAUUCCUCCCUUAUCUACAAGAGGUAACUCAAGGACUUUAGGCCAGUGGCUUUAAAGUUGUUCUACUGCAGCUAUCAUUUAUACCAGGACUGAGUGACUGAAGAUCAGCCCCCACUCUCCACUG